rnacentral:rRNA from 1 species
GAUGAACGCUGGCGGCGUGCUUAACACAUGCAAGUCGAACGGAAAGGCUCCUGCUUGCAGGGGUACUCGAGUGGCGAACGGGUGAGUAACACGUGGGUGAUCCGUCCCUCACUUCGGGAUAUGCCUGGGAAACUGGGUCUAAUACCGGAUAGGAUGAUUGUCUGGAUGCCAUUGUGGAAAGUUAUUCGGUAUUGGCUGAGCUCGCGGCCUAUCAGCUUGUUGGUGGGGUAAUGGCCUACCAAGUCGCUGACGGGUAGACGGCCUGGGAGGGGGUACGGCCACAAUAGGCCUGAGGUACGACGCAGACUCGAACCGGAGGCAACGGUGGAGAGUAUUACACAGUAGCGGCGAGCCAGUUGUGACGGCGCCGGGUGGGGGAUGCCGUGCUUCGGGUUGUGAACUCAUUUCGCUGGAGACGUGGCGAUAGUGACGGUACCUGGAGAAGAAGCACCGGCUAACUACGUG